rnacentral:rRNA from 1 species
AUUGAACGCUGGCGGCAUGCCUUACACAUGCAAGUCGAACGGCAGCGGACCUUCGGGUGCCGGCGAGUGGCGAACGGGUGAGUAAUGCAUCGGAACGUACCUUUCAGUGGGGGAUAACGUAGCGAAAGUUACGCUAAUACCGCAUAUUCUGUGAGCAGGAAAGCAGGGGGUCGCAAGACCUUGCGCUGAUUGAGCGGCCGAUGUCAGAUUAGCUAGUUGGUGAGGUAAAGGCUCACCAAGGCGACGAUCUGUAGCGGGUCUGAGAGGAUGAUCCGCCACACUGGAACUGAGACACGGUCCAGACUCCUACGGGAGGCAGCAGUGGGGAAUUUUGGACAAUGGGGGCAACCCUGAUCCAGCCAUGCCGCGUGAGUGAAGAAGGCCUUCGGGUUGUAAAGCUCUUUCGGCCGGGAAGAAAUCGCACGGGCUAAUACCCUGUGUGGGUGACGGUACCGGAAUAAGGAGCACCGGCUAACUACGUGCCAGCCGCCGCCGUAACAC